rnacentral:rRNA from 1 species
GACGAACGCUGGCGGCGUGCUUAACACAUGCAAGUCGAACGGAAAGGCCCUGCUUUUGUGGGGUGCUCGAGUGGCGAACGGGUGAGUAACACGUGAGUAACCUGCCCUUGACUUUGGGAUAACUUCAGGAAACUGGGGCUCAUACCGGAUAGGAGCUCCUGCUGCAUGGGGGGGGUUGGAAAGUUUCGGCGGUUGGGGAUGGACUAGCGGCUUAUCAGCUUGUUGGUGGGGUAGUGGCUUACCAAGGCUUUGACGGGUAGCCGGCCUGAGAGGGGGACCGGCCACAUUGGGACUGAGAGACGGCCCAGACGCCUACGGGAGGCAGCAGGGGGGAACAUUGCACAAUGGGCGGAAGCCUGAUGCAGCAACGCCGCGUGCGGGAUGACGGCCUUCUGGGGGUAAACCGCUUUCGCCUGUGACGAAGCGGGAGUGACGGUAACGGGUAAAGAAGCACCGGCUAACUACGUG